UUUAGUGAAGGUUUUUUGGGGUGGACCAACUUAUAGGAGCAUGACUUGGGAGCGUGAAAAGCAAAUGAGGGAGUCGUAACCGACACUGUUUUCCUCAGGUAAUUUUCGAGGUCGUAAAUUUCUUAAGUGAGGGAGAGUUGUAACACCCUAAUUUUUAUUAGAUAUUUAAUUGUAUUUUUAUUAUUUGAAUUUGAACUUUGAUGAUUUAUUUUAUGGCUGGGUAUGUAUCCUUAAGUUAGGGGUAUAGAGAGAUAAUAGAAGUAAGUAGAAUAAUU
rnacentral:lncRNA from 1 species